rnacentral:rRNA from 1 species
GACAGAGGGUGCAAACGUUGCUCGGAAUUACUGGGCGUAAAGCGCGUGUAGGCGGACUGGUGUGUCGGAUGUGAAAUCCCCAGGCUCAACCUGGGAACUGCAUUCGAAACUGCCAGCCUUGAGUGGUGGAGAGGGAAGUGGAAUUCCUGGUGUAGAGGUGAAAUUCGUAGAUAUCGGGAAGAACACCCGUGGCGAAGGCGGCUCUCUGGGACGGUACUGACGCUGAGACGCGAAAGCGUGGGGAGCGAACAGG